GGCCUACGGGCGGCUGCAGUGUGGAAUAUUGCACAAUGGGGGAAACCCUGAUGCAGCGACGCCGCGUGAGCGAUGAAGUAUUUCGGUAUGUAAAGCUCUAUCAGCAGGGAAGAAAAUGACGGUACCUGACUAAGAAGCACCGGCUAAAUACGUGCCAGCAGCCGCGGUAAUACGUAUGGUGCAAGCGUUAUCCGGAGUUACUGGGUGUAAAGGGAGCGUAGACGGAGUGGCAAGUCUGAUGUGAAAACCCGGGGCUCAACCCCGGGACUGCAUGGGAAACUGGCAAUCUGGAGUACCGGAGAGGUAAGCGGAAUUCCUAGUGUAGCGGUGAAAUGCGUAGAUAUUAGGAGGAACACCAGUGGCGAAGGCGGCUUACUGGACGGUAACUGACGUUGAGGCUCGAAAGCGUGGGGAGCAAACAGGAUUAGAUACCCUAGUAGUCUAU
rnacentral:rRNA from 1 species